rnacentral:rRNA from 1 species
GACGGAGGAUGCAAGUGUUAUCCGGAAUCACUGGGCGUAAAGCGUCUGUAGGUGGUUUUAAAAGUCCACUGUUAAAAAUUGAAGCUUAACUUCAAAGAUGCAAUGGAAACUUUUAAACUUGAGUAUGGUAGGGGUAGAGGGAAUUUCCAGUGGAGCGGUGAAAUGCGUAGAUAUCUGGAGGAACACCGGUGGCGAAGGCGGCAUCCUGGACCGAGAUUGACGCUGAGGCGCGAAAGCUAGGGGAGCAAACAGG